UACAGAGGUCCCGAGCGUUGUUCGGAUUCAUUGGGCGUAAAGGGUGCGUAGGUGGGUAGGAAAGUCAGUGGUGAAAUCUUCGGGCUUAACCCGGAAACUGCCAUUGAUACUAUUUAUCUUGAAUACUUUGGAGGUAAGCGGAAUAUGUCAUGUAGCGGUGAAAUGCUUAGAUAUGACAUAGAACACCAAUUGCGAAGGCAGCUUACUACACAGUUAUUGACACUGAGGCACGAAAGCGUGGGGAUCAAACAGG
rnacentral:rRNA from 1 species